rnacentral:rRNA from 1 species
GAGUUUGAUCCUGGCUCAGGAUGAACGCUGACAGAAUGCUUAACACAUGCAAGUCUACUUGAACUUCGGUUUGGGUGGCGGACGGGUGAGUAACGCGUAAAGAACUUGCCUCACAGUUAGGGACAACAUUUGGAAACGAAUGCUAAUACCUGAUAUUAUGAUUUUAGGGCAUCCUAAGAUUAUGAAAGCUAUAUGCGCUGUGAGAGAGCUUUGCGUCCCAUUAGCUAGUUGGAGAGGUAACGGCUCACCAAGGCGAUGAUGGGUAGCCGGCCUGAGAGGGUGAACGGCCACAAGGGGACUGAGACACGGCCCUUACUCCUACGGGAGGCAGCAGUGGGGAAUAUUGGACAAUGGACCAAAAGUCUGAUCCAGCAAUUCUGUGUGCACGAUGACGUUUUUCGGAAUGUAAAGUGCUUUCAGUUGGGAAGAAAAAAAUGACGGUACCAACAGAAGAAGUGACGGCUAAAUACGUGCCAGCAGCCGCGGUAAUACGUAUGUCACAAGCGUUAUCCGGAUUUAUUGGGCGUAAAGCGCGUCUAGGUGGUUAUGUAAGUCUGAUGUGAAAAUGCAGGGCUCAACUCUGUAUUGCGUUGGAAACUGCAUGACUAGAGUACUGGAGAGGUAAGCGGAACUACAAGUGUAGAGGUGAAAUUCGUAGAUAUUUGUAGGAAUGCCGAUGGGGAAGCCAGCUUACUGGACAGAUACUGACGCUAAAGCGCGAAAGCGUGGGUAGCAAACAGGAUUAGAUACCCUGGUAGUCCACGCCGUAAACGAUGAGUGCUAAGUGUUGGUCUCAUAAGAGAUCAGUGCUGCAGCUAACGCAUUAAGCACUCCGCCUGGGGAGUACGACCGCAAGGUUGAAACUCAAAGGAAUUGACGGGGACCCGCACAAGCGGUGGAGCAUGUGGUUUAA